rnacentral:rRNA from 1 species
AGUAACACGUGGAUAACCUACCUAUAAGACUGGGAUAACUUCGGGAAACCGGAGCUAAUACCGGAUAAUAUUUUGAACCGCAUGGUCCAAAAGUGAAAGACGGUCUUGCUGUCACUUAUAGAUGGAUCCGCGCUGCAUUAGCUAGUUGGUAAGGUAACGGCUUACCAAGGCAACGAUGCAUAGCAGACCUGAGAGGGUGAUCGGCCACACUGGAACUGAGACACGGUCCAG